rnacentral:misc_RNA from 1 species
UUAAAAAAAGACAAUGCUCUCUUGGACAAAUAUAAAAUUGCAAAAGGGAGGCUGAUGAACGAGCUUAACUGAAAUCAGGCUUCUCUGGAUAUGUGCAACCUGACCUCUGGAUAAUCACAUUUGCUGCAUAGCAUCCAGCUCUCACACACUCUUCAAUAGGCUUCUCUUGCACUAGAUGUGACAAAAAUCCACCAACAAAUGCAUCCCCUGCCCCAUUCGUAUCUACCAGCUUUUCCUUGGGUAACAAUACCACAGGGAAUAAU